ensembl:ncRNA lncRNA:CR45698 long non-coding RNA:CR45698
AAUUUACUUUGUUUUCCAUUUACAUUCGCCUGGCACUUUGUUCGCUUGUUCAUUUUUUCACUAUUAUUUUGUGUCUAAUUUGCAUAUCGUCCGCGCUUCCUGAUUCUGAUCCUGACAUGCGCCGCCGUGCCAUUAUCUACGUCCCUGGGAAAGGGCCAUCCCUCGUCCUGACAGCCUCCACCGAAAUUUGUUGCCUUACGAAAGACUCGCCGUUCUAUGUGCAUCUGCAUCGCUGCACCGCGUCCUUCUGCUCUUACUGCUUCAUUUAAAGUUUAUUCGGCAACUUCAAGUGAAAAGUUAAGUCAACUUUUUGGUCCGCCCCAGCGGCCCGCUUCGAAUUGGAGAAGAACACAAAAUGCCAUUUCCGUUUCCGGUAACUUUUGCCCCAAGAACAAAGCCAAAGAUGAAGUAAGAAAUGUUUUACAGGGGACUACGUUAUAAAACGAGAGUUUGAUACUCUGAAAGAACAUAAUUUUUUAAUAUGUAAAUAUAUGUAUAAUACCAUAGUUAGUUUUUUAACCAUGAAGCU